UAAUUUUGUCGAAAGGGGUGUGCUUGGGAGGUAGGGCUCAUGUGGAAGUUGAGAAUGAGGAUUUUACGUAAAACCCUAGCUACCAUUGGCCCCUAUUUUGAGUGAUUUCAUCGGUAUUUCCCAUUAUAGGCAGCUACGAUGGAGGUUGGUUUGAUGAACCUUUUAUGGUAGUAGAAAACAAAAUUGGUAGUUCUUUGCUGAUGGGGAGGUAAACCUUGUAUUUACUCAAUCUUGUAAUUUUUCAUGAUAAUGAAAUCAUUUCGUUAUCAGUUGCUUAUGACUGUAGCUUUAUUAGGCUAAACCACAUAUAUUUGUGUAUUGAUGGUUUUUCGAUUGUUGUUUGUAGUGUGUUGUUGUAGUUUUUGAUUUCUCAUUUUUCUUCUCUUGAUUUUCUUUUAUUUUUCCAAAUUUUAUAUGCUAAAUACUGUUCUUGGGUGUUUGGGUUUCUUGAAAUUGAUUCGCUGGUGACCAACGAGUUUGCUUUGAGGCAUUAAAUAUUUUUUGCAUUUGGGGGUUCACUACAAUAUGGGGCAAUUGAGAAGAUUCUCGAUUCUCAAUGAGCGGUAACAAAGCUCAAUGGUAAUGCGUAGUGAUUUAAGAAAAUGAGUAGUAUGAAGUAGAUUAGUUUGAUGGGGGUGAAAGAAUUUGAAUUAUGGAAAUUAAAGUUCAGGAUACAUUGGUGCAACAAGGUUAAUAUGACGCCCUACAAGGAUUAUCUAAGAAACCUCAGGGUAUGAAGGAUGAUGAUUGAGAAGAAUCAGAUAAGAAGGUGCUUGCCACCAUUUGCUUGUGUUUUAAUAGAUGAAAUACUCUCUAAUGCCAUAGGAGAAAAGAUAGCAUUUGCAAAGCUAGAAAAAUUGUCUUAGACAAAGUCCCUUCCCUCAUAUAUGGGAUUUUCUUUGAAAGUAAAUUAUAUUCUUUGAGGAUGCAUGAAAAUAUGAAAGUGUUAGAACAUUGCUCACCCUUUAUUGUGCAUGUGAAUGUUUGUGACCCCAAAUAUAAUGGAUAAAGCAAAAUUACAACAAAAGAGGCAAAUAAACUUCAAUUAAAAUAAGUGCAUAGAAUACAUUAGCAUUUCUUUGGGGGAGUUCUUAAGUGGACGUAAGGAAACCUGUAAACAAUUCAAGAAAAACACAGAUAACACUCUGAUAGGAAGGAUAUAGCUAAACAAAGCUUUUUUUAUUUCUAUCUAAAUCAAUCCCAAGGCACCUGUAGACAACUCAUUAAUUAAAUUCACUUCCUCUAACAAUUGAGGGUUAAAAUGCCUUUGUUCAAUCGGUUAUAAGCGGCUCAACUAGGAAGAAACAAAGAAAAUUACAGUAUACCUCCUUCACAUAUAAAGGGUAUUCUACCAUCUUCUUGAUUGUUUCUGUAUAUCGCUGUUACCAUUUUUUUCUCUCUCCCCUAUUGUCUUGUGCAUGUGUUUUUUGGCUUUUAUAGAUGAUGGGGUACUCCUAGUAGGUGGUUUAUCAAAGUGCCUGGUAGUGGCGGUGUAGUGGAGUAGAGGGUAGCAUGGUGGAUUGACCUCCAUGCUCUAUAGAGAUCGUGGUUAAAACAUGUGCAACAUUAUUGCCCUUCUUGGUGCCACAUCUUCCAAUGGGUUGAGUAGGGUCAUUAGAAGACUCAAGCACUUUUAAUCAGGAAUGUGACCCUUAUCCAUAUGGGAUUAAGGUUUAUAUAUAAAAAAUGAAGGAUAUUUUAGUUUCUAUCCUUCUGGUAGAAGUGAUUUUUAAGUCCGAGAAGAAGUUAUUUUCAACUUACCCUUCCAAUAAAUCAUUUAUAGCAUGUUGUGCAUCAUUUUUACUUUUAUGCAAAGGAAUUAAUGUUCUUAAAGGAUUUAUAAUUAUUCAUCUGAAACAUGCAACAUAGCAUUUGGCCUCAUGAUACCUAUAUUAGGUAAAUUUCAAUUUAAGUAGCAAAAAUGGGUAAUUGUCAAUAGUGGACUUAUGAAAAUGUGGAUAUUUGGUAAAAAGGCUCACAAAUCUCAAGGCUUAUGUGAAUCAUGCAUAUAUUUGGUAAAAAGGCUCACCAAUUUGGCAAUUUCAAGGUUUAUGAGAACCAUGAGGUUAUAUUAAUGCUUGCACAAUUGAAGACUAACCAUGCAUUAUUUUAGCACUGUAACCGUUAUGCAUUCCAUACCAAAGACAUAACUCAUUUGAGGAAUGAAAAAUCCCUUGAUUUAUCCUGGUAUUUGCGGGAUUUAAUCAGAGGAUAGUACGUGAUAUUUGAGGUUUCCCUCACAUAUUGAAUUUGAAUCUGGACCGUCAGAUCUGAAGAUGAUGUGGUAUAGAGCCAAUGUUUGACAAUGGAGUCAUGUAGCUUAGCUAUGGUUCAUCUUCAUUGUGAUUGAAGAUCAAGAACUUAGAAUUCAUUAUAGUAAAAGGCUUGAGAUUAUGCAAAUUAGCAGAACUUUGCUGGUGGAUCCCAAAAGGGAUUUGAAAGAUUGACCCUUAUAUCCUUGGGCGUUGAGGAGACGGCUAUUGUUAGCUGGCAAUUCAAGCGCAUCUCCUCUUGAGAGGUAUAAAUAGGGGUUUAUAGCAAUCAUGCAAAUAACUUUCUUGUUACUAUAGCAAUGGGUGCAUCAUCUUCAGGGUGGGUAUUAGACUCUCUAGUUCAGUCACCAACUGCUCUUUAGAAAGGUUACCAGGUGGGUAAGACAUUUUAAGGUGGUAACAAAUGUGGUUGGAAGGCUUCAUAGGAUUCCUUUUCAUUGUGUAACUUUGAGGUCAUAUAAUGACCUGUGUCUCUUUAGCGUUCUACUCUAUGGGCUUCUAGGGCAUCCAACUGCAUCUCUCAUAUCAUGGGGCAUCCUAGGGCAUGGAUGGACUUCCUCAUGAUCCAUCCUCCGUCCUGUUUCAUUCAUAUAUGAUGAUGAUCUUUGUAGGGGCUUCUUGGAGGAUAUCCUCCUUAUGAGAGCCAAUGGCCAAUGGUCUAUCACAUCUCGAUAGGAGAAUAGACUGUCUCAUCUCCUUCAGUACAUGUAGCAAGAGGGGGUAUACUGAUUCCCAACAGGAUGGGUUUCUUUAUUGCUCUUGAGACAGAGGAUGGAAGGCACUGAUGUGCAUCUUCUCUUUCACAUCUAUUACUUCCAUCAUCACCUUUCUUGGGGUAGGAUAACAAUCACUAAAGUAGGAUAAGUUGCACAUUAGGGAUCCUAAGCAAUUGUGUUGAAGAUUGAUGUGGAAGGCAGUAAUGUGCAUCGUUUCUUUUCUUUUUCAAAUAAAAAGAAAAGAAAAGAGAAGAGAGAGGAAAAAGAAAAUAUUAUUUAUUCAACUUAUAUAUUUGAAUCCAAGUGGUUGGACGUAGUAACAUUUUCAUUAAUAAAUUUCAUAUGCAACCAUAAUGUUUUUUUAUAAUGUUUUUUUGGCUAAGUGCCAUAUGGAAUUUAUUAAUGGAAAUGUUAUGGAUGUAAGAACAACCACUUGUAUUCAAAUAUAUAUAAGUUGAAUAAGUCAUAUUUUCCUUUCCUCUAGCUCUUCUCUUUUUUUUUUUAUUUGAAAAAGAGAGGAUUAUUCGUCCAAGGAUGCCAUUGGUCGCCUUCGAGAUGGGGUUUGCUGCAACAACUUUUGGGUGCCCGAGGUAUUUUUCUUGGAAAAGGCCUGUCUUUCGGGAAGUUCUGCACCACUUCGGCUUCACCUCUUCACCAUUCUUAAAUGUUGCCCAUAAAAGGCUGUGGGCCACUGAGAUCCAGCAGAUCCUUCUACAUCAAGGUCCGGAAAGAGGAGGAAUCCUCCAGUUCUGGGUCAUCUUCGGAAUAUGGUGGUGCUUGGUCUAAUGGUUCGUCAUUGUUAGGGGAUUGCAACUCCUUGGUCUAAUGGUUCGUCAUUGUUAGGGAAAUGCAAUUCCAUGAACAUUCUAUGCCAUCAGAUAGACUUCAUUCAACGUACACUAAGGCACGAGGAGAAGAGUAUGAAGAAGUUGAAGUUGGAGUUGAAGAGGAAAUGAGAAGAAUUUGAACUCCAGACAUAGACCUUGCGAGAACCUGCGUGAUUGAAAUCUAAGGUGCUGAUGUUCUUGUGGGGCAUUAGAUCCUUUGGGUGAACUCGACACCUAUAGGAGAUUCUCGCUUACACUUCAAGGCUCGGAGCCUAACUCUCCUUUCAACUUUUUGAUUUGACUUUAAUCUUUUUCUUUUUCUUCUUUUUUUUUUUUUAUACUCCAUUGAUUUUGCUCUUGUGACUCUAUUUCCUUUGAAUUUGGUCUUUGUGAAGCUCAA